rnacentral:rRNA from 1 species
AGAGUUUGAUCCUGGCUCAGAUCGAACGCUGGCGGAAUGCUUUACACAUGCAAGUCGAGCGGCAGCGCGGGGGCAACCCUGGCGGCGAGCGGCGAACGGGUGAGUAAUACAUCGGAACGUACCCUAUCGUGGGGGAUAACGAAUCGAAAGAUUCGCUAAUACCGCAUACGACCUGAGGGUGAAAGCGGGGGAUCGCAAGACCUCGCGCGAUUGGAGCGGCCGAUGUCGGAUUAGCUAGUUGGUAGGGUAAAGGCCUACCAAGGCGACGAUCCGUAGCUGGUCUGAGAGGACGACCAGCCACACUGGGACUGAGACACGGCCCAGACUCCUACGGGAGGCAGCAGUGGGGAAUUUUGGACAAUGGGGGCAACCCUGAUCCAGCCAUUCCGCGUGAGUGAAGAAGGCCUUCGGGUUGUAAAGCUCUUUCGGCAGGAACGAAACGGCGGGCUCUAACAUAGCCUGUCAAUGACGGUACC